GUACCUAUGGUGUAGUGGUUAUCACAACCGCCUAACACGCGGAAGGUCCCAGAUUCGAAACCUGGUAGGUACA
rnacentral:tRNA from 1 species